ncrna:unclassified sequences DTF3800-I RNA
UAUAGUUACAGGUAGAAGUACGCUGUACACUUGUGUAACUGAAUUAACGUUUAAGCGAAGUGUAUUCUUCGUCAGUCGCAAGGGGGUCGCUUAUUUAAUAGGUGACCUUAUUUUUUUUG